rnacentral:rRNA from 1 species
AACCGCCUACGGGACGCAGCAGUAGGGAAUCUUCCACAAUGGGCGAAAGCCUGAUGGAGCAACGCCGCGUGGGUGAAGAAGGUCUUCGGAUCGUAAAACCCUGUUGUUAGAGAAGAAAAUGCGUGAGAGUAACUGUUCACGUUUCGACGGUAUCUAACCAGAAAGCCACGGCUAACUACGUGCCAGCAGCCGCGGUAAUACGUAGGUGGCAAGCGUUAUCCGGAUUCAUUGGGCGUAAAGGGAACGCAGGCGGUCUUUUAAGUCUGAUGUGAAAGCCUUAGGCUUAACCGGAGUAGUGCAUUGGA